GUCUUUAAAGUUAAAAAUUAUGGCGGUAUUUUAUUCUAUUCAGAGGAACCUGUUUUUUAAUCGAUAGUCCACGAUAAUUUUUACUUUUUUUAAAAAAUUUAUAUAUCAUCGUAGUUUGAAUAUUUUAAUAUUAAUAUUUUCAGAUCAAGGUAUAGUUUAUAGAAAAGUUAAAAUGGGUUACAAUAAAAAGUUUUAUUAAAUUGGAUUUGAAAGUAAGCUCUAAAAUAUGUACAUAUCGCCCGUCGCUUUCGUUUAAAAUGAAAUAAGUCGUAACAAAGUAGAUUUAUUGGAAAAUGAAUCUAGAAAGCAAAUUAGAGCUUGAUAAGUAUUUUAUUUACAUUAAAAAGUUAAUUGUGAAAUUCAAUUUAAUUUGAAAUUAAAAUUUUAUUUAUUUUUUAAGUUUAUUUGUUUUAAAAAAAAUAUUUUAAAUUUUAUUAUAUUUAUGAAAAAAUUUAAUUAUAGAUUAUAGUAUUGAUAAAGAAUAUUCUUAAUUAAAAAAAGAAAAUUUUAUUUAUUGUACCUUGUGUAUCAGGGUUGAUUAAUUUAAGUUCUCGAAUUUUAAAGAGUUAAUUUUAAUGUUGAAUUAUUAUUUAUAAUAUAAAUUUAGAAAUGAAACGUUAUUCGUUUUAUAAUAUAUCUAGUUUUUUAAGAAAAAAAUUUAAUUUUAUAGUUUUAAAUUAUUUUUAUAAGGGAUAAUCUUUUAAGUAAAAUUUUAUAAAUUAAUAUUGAUUUGAAAAUUAUAGGAUUAGAAUUUUCUAUUUUUAAAAAAAUGUUUUAAUUGAUAUUUUUAAAUUUUUUAUUAAAAUAUUUAUUUAAAUUUAGAAAAUAAAGUAAUAAUGAUUAAAUUAGUAAUAUAAAAUUAAGGAAUUCGGCAAAAUUAUUUUUCACCUGUUUAAUAAAAACAUGGCUUUUUGAUAAUAAUUUAAAGUCUGACCUGCCCAAUGAUUUAAUGGCCGCAGUAUUUUGACUGUGCGAAGGUAGCAUAAUCAUUAGUUUUUUAAUUGAAAGCUGGAAUGAAUGGUUUGAUGAGAAAAUAACUAUCUAUAAAAUUUUAUUUUUAAGUUAAAAAGCUUAAAUUUUUUAAUAAGACGAGAAGACCCUAUAGAGUUUUUUAAUUGGGGUGAUUUUUAAAUUAGUUAAACUUUUUAUUUUUAUGAAUAAUUGAUCCUGGAUUAUAAGAAUAAAUUACCUUAGGGAUAACAGCGUAAUUUUUUUUUAGAGUUCUUAUCG
rnacentral:rRNA from 1 species